GGUGGGCCCGCGACCUAUCAGCUUGUCGGUGGGGUAACGGCCUACCGAGGCUCUGACGGGUAGCUGGUCUGAGAGGACGACCAGCCACACGGGGACUGAGACACGGCCCCGACUCCUACGGGAGGCAGCAGUAAGGAAUCUUCCGCAAUGGGCGAAAGCCUGACGGAGCGACGCCGCGUGUGGGAUGAAGUCUCUCGGGAUGUAAACCACUGUCGGAGGGGAAGAGAAUGGACGGUACCCUCCAAGAAAGCCCCGGCUAACUACGUGCCGGCAGCCGCGGUAAUACGUAGGGGGCAAGCGUUACUCGGAUUCACUGGGCGUAAAGCGCGUGUAGGCGGCUGGUCAAGCGUGAUGUGAAAUCUCCGGGCUUAACCCGGAAACUGCAUCGCGAACUGGCCUGGCUGGAGUGCAGGAGAGGGAUGUGGAAUUCCCGGUGUAGCGGUGAAAUGCGUAGAUAUCGGGAGG
rnacentral:rRNA from 1 species